CGGGUAUGUCUUUAUCAGCAGCAUGAAAACAGACUGACAUAAGGAACUCCAAGAAGGUUCCAGGCGGGGACACUGCAGCCAGAUCAUCUAUCAGUUUGAAGGAUACAACCCCUAUUUUGCUGAAUGAAUUUGGGUCUCCAAGCAUGGAGAGUUUGUGCGGAGGUCGUGUGGAGCUCAUGUGGAGAUGGAGGGCCACCAAAGGACCCUGAGAUAGACAGUGUGACUAGAGAGGAGGAGGAGGAAAAAGAGGAACAUUUACAAUUCUGGAAGCCAAGAGUUGAGAGUAUUUUGGAAAGAGGAAGGGGUCGAAUAUUUUGAACACCCACGAAAGGUUAAAGAAGUUUAAGAUCUAGAAGUAUCCAUUGAAUUGGGGAACAUGGAACUCAAUGUUGACUUGUCAAGACUGGAUUAGGAAAAUGUGGCACAUAUACACCAUGGAAUACUA
rnacentral:lncRNA from 1 species